rnacentral:rRNA from 1 species
UGGGGAAUUUUCCGCAAUGGGCGAAAGCCUGACGCAGCCACGCCGCGUGAGGGAUGAAGGCUUUCGGGUUGUAAACCUCUUUCAGCAGGGACGAAAAUGACGGUACCUGCAGAAGAAGCCCCGGCCAACUACGUGCCAGCAGCCGCGGUAACACGUAGGGGGCGAGCGUUGUCCGGAUUUAUUGGGCGUAAAGAGCUCGUAGGCGGUUCAGUAAGUCGGGUGUGAAAACUUGAGGCUCAACCUCAAGAGGCCACUCGAUACUGCUGUGACUUGAGUCCGGUAGAGGAGUGUGGAAUUCCUGGUGUAGCGGUGAAAUGCGCAGAUAUCAGGAGGAACACCGACAGCGAAGGCAGCACUCUGGGCCGGUACUGACGCUGAGGAGCGAAAGCGUGGGGAGCGAACAGG